rnacentral:rRNA from 1 species
UACGUAGGGUCCGAGCGUUGUCCGGAAUUAUUGGGCGUAAAGAGCUCGUAGGCGGUGUGUCGCGUCGGCCGUGAAAACCUGCAGCUUAACUGUGGGCUUGCGGUCGAUACGGGCAUCACUGGAGUUCGGCAGGGGAGACUGGAAUUCCGGGUGUAGCGGUGGAAUGCGUAGAGAUCCGGAAGAACACCGGUGGUGUAGACGGCUCUCUGGACCGCGACUGACGCUGAGACACGAAAGCGUGGGUAGCAAACAGG